rnacentral:rRNA from 1 species
CAAUCCUCGGGGGGAGCAGUAAGGGAUAUUGGUCAAUGGGGGAAACCCUGAACCAGCAACGCCGCGUGAGGGAAGACGGUUUUCGGAUUGUAAACCUCUGUCCUCUGUGAAGAUGAUGACGGUAGCAGAGGAGGAAGCUCCGGCUAACUACGUGCCAGCAGCCGCGGUAAUACGUAGGGAGCGAGCGUUGUCCGGAUUUACUGGGUGUAAAGGGUGCGUAGGCGGCUUGGCAAGUCAGUAGUGAAAUCCAUGGGCUUAACCCAUGAACUGCUAUUGAAACUGUCGAGCUUGAGUGAAGUAGAGGG